ensembl:rRNA 5S_rRNA 5S ribosomal RNA
AUCUAUGGGUACACCAUCCUGGAAAGUGCCCGAUCUCGUCUAAUCUCAGAAGCCAAGCAGCGUAAGGCCUAGUUAGUACUUAGAUGGGAGACCACUUGAAAAUACUGGAUGCUGUGCUUG